rfam:Danio rerio chromosome 4, GRCz11 reference primary assembly.
ACAUUGGUGGCUCAGUGGUAGAAUUCUCGCCUGCCAGGUGGGAGACCCGGGUCUGAUUCCCGACCAAUGCA